rnacentral:rRNA from 1 species
UACGUAGGGGGCAAGCGUUGUCCGGAUUCAUUGGGCGUAAAGAGCGUGUAGGCGGCCAGGUAGGUCGGUUGUGAAAACUGGAGGCUCAACCUUCAGAGGUCGACCGAAACCAUCUGGCUAGAGUCCGGGAGAGGAGAGUGGAAUUCCUGGUGUAGCGGUGAAAUGCGCAGAUAUCAGGAAGAACACCCGUGGCGAAAGCGGCUCUCUGGAACGGUACUGACUCUGAGACGCGAAAGCGUGGGGAGCGAACAGG